CGCCGGCUCUGACUCCGCGUCGCGGCGGGGCUCGGAUUUGAUCUGGGUCCACACCCAGGCCUCAUCGUUGUCGGUGAUGCAGGAAUCAUUCACCGUUGUUCGUGGCGGGGAUGGGCAGCGUAGCUCGCCGGCAGGCAUCGGUUUCUUCAGCUGGUGAAUAGAGUAAGAGAUUGGCACAGGCGAACGAAAGAACCGACCGUGGCUACAAAGACAAUAUUUUA
rnacentral:misc_RNA from 1 species